AUGGACUGGAGCUGGAGAUCCUUCUUCCUAGUGGCAGUGGCUACAGGUGUCCACUCUGAGGUGCAGCUUCUGCAGUCUUGGUCUGAGAUGAGGAAGCCUGGGGCCUCAGUCAAGCUCUCCUGCAAGGCUUCUGGGUGCACCUUCACAGACUACUAUAUGCACUGGGUUCAACAGGCCCAAGGACAAGAGCUUGAGUGGAUGGGAAGAACUGAUCCUUCAGAUGGUGAAACAAAGUAUGCACAGAAGUUCUGGGACAGAGUCACCAUAACUGCAGAUGCAUCCACCAGCACAGCCUACAUGGAGCUGAGCAGCCUGAGAGCUGAGGACACAGAUGUGUAUUACUAUGCGAGAGAUCAAUUUCUUAUUAUAUUAAAUAUAUACUUAACCUGUGUUCAUGACCAGGUGCAGCUGCUGCAGCCUGGGGUUGAGGUGAGGAAGACUGGGGCCUCAGUGAAGGUCUCCUACAAGGCUUCUGGAUACACCUACAUCAACCACUGUAUAGACUGGGUGUGA